rnacentral:rRNA from 1 species
AGAGUUUGAUCCUGGCUCAGGAUGAACGCUGGCGGCGUGCCUAACACAUGCAAGUCGAACGAAGAUGCAUUUCAGAUCCCUUCGGGGUGACGAGAUGCAGACUUAGUGGCGGACGGGUGAGUAAUGUAUGAGCAACCUGCCUUCAAGAGGGGAAUAACAGUCGGAAACGACUGCUAAUACCGCAUAACAAAGCGUAGUCGCAUGACAAUGCUUUCAAAGGAGCAAUCCGCUUGAAGAUGGGCUCAUAUCUGAUUAGAUAGUUGGUGAGGUAACGGCUCACCAAGUCUGCGAUCAGUAGCCGGACUGAGAGGUUGAACGGCCACAUUGGAACUGAGAUACGGUCCAGACUCCUACGGGAGGCAGCAGUGGGGAAUAUUGGGCAAUGGGCGAAAGCCUGACCCAGCAACGCCGCGUGAAGGAAGAAGGUCUUCGGAUUGUAAACUUUUGUCUUAUGGGACGAUAAUGACGGUACCAUAGGAGGAAGCCACGACUAACUACGUGCCAGCAGUCGCGGUAAUACGUAGGUGGCGAGCGUUAUCCGGAAUUAUUGGGUGUAAAGGGUGCGUAGGCGGGUCGUAAAGUCAGAUGUGAAAUGCGGAGGCUCAACCUCCGAACUGCAUUUGAAACUUACGAUCUUGAGUGGAGUAGAGGCAAGCGGAAUUCCCGGUGUAGCGGUGAAAUGCAUAGAUAUCGGGAGGAACACCAGUGGCGAAGGCGGCUUGCUGGGCUUUUACUGACGCUGAGGCACGAAAGUGUGGGGAGCAAACAGGAUUAGAUACCCUGGUAGUCCACACCGUAAACGAUGAUUACUAGGUGUAGGCCGGCUGAACCGGUCUGUGCCGCAGUUAACACAAUAAGUAAUCCACCUGGGGAGUACGGCCGCAAGGUUGAAACUCAAAGGAAUUGACGGGGGCCCGCACAAGCAGUGGAGUAUGUGGUUUAAUUCGACGCAACGCGAAAAACCUUACCAGGUCUUGACAUCCGACUAACGAGGUAGAGAUACGUUAGGUGCCCUUCGGGGAAAGUUGAGACAGGUGGUGCAUGGUUGUCGUCAGCUCGUGUCGUGAGAUGUUGGGUUAAGUCCCGCAACGAGCGCAACCCUUGUUGUCAGUUGCUACGCAAGAGCACUCUGGCAAGACUGCCGUUGACAAAACGGAGGAAGGUGAGGAUGACGUCAAAUCAUCAUGCCCUUUAUGACCUGGGCUACACACGUACUACAAUGGCGGUAAACAAAGAGGAGCGAAGUCGUGAGGCAGAGCAAAUCUCCAAAAGCCGUCUCAGUUCAGAUUGCAGGCUGAAACUCGCCUGCAUGAAGUUGGAAUUGCUAGUAAUCGUGAAUCAGCAUGUCACGGUGAAUACGUUCCCGGGCCUUGUACACACCGCCCGUCAAACCAUGAGAGUUGGGAAUGCCCGAAGUCUGUUGUCUGACCGCAAGGGGGACGCAGCCGAAGGCAGGCUCGAUGAUUGGGGUUAAGUCGUAACAAGGUAGCCGUAUCGGAAGGUGCGGCUG